GACCUCGGAUCAGGUAGGGAUACCCGCUGAACUUAAGCAUAUCAAUAAGCGGAGGAAAAGAAACCAACAGGGAUUGCCUCAGUAACGGCGAGUGAAGCGGCAACAGCUCAAAUUUGAAAUCUGGCCUUCGGGUCCGAGUUGUAAUUUGCAGAGGAUGCUUCGAGCAUGGUCUAGUCUAAGUUCCUUGGAAUAGGACGUCAUAGAGGGUGAGAAUCCCGUAUGCGACUGGGUGCCUAAGCUCAUGUGAAGCUCCUUCGACGAGUCGAGUUGUUCGGGAAUGCAGCUCAAAAUGGGUGGUAAAUUUCAUCUAAAGCUAAAUAUUGGCCAGAGACCGAUAGCGCACAAGUAGAGUGAUCGAAAGAUGAAAAGCACUUUGGAAAGAGAGUUAAAUAGCACGUGAAAUUGUUGAAAGGGAAGCGCUUGCAAUCAG
rnacentral:rRNA from 1 species